GAUGAACGCUAGCGGCAGGCUUAAUACAUGCAAGUCGUGGGGCAGCAUGAGUAGCAAUACUUGAUGGCGACCGGCAAACGGGUGAGGAACACGUACACAACCUUCCUUCAAGCGGGGAAUAGCCCAGAGAAAUUUGGAUUAAUACCCCAUAAUAUAUUUGAUAAGGCAUCUUAUUAAUAUUAAAGCUUCGGCACUUGAUGAUGGGUGUGCGGCUGAUUAGAUAGUUGGCGGGGUAACGGCCCACCAAGUCUACGAUCAGUAGCUGAUGUGAGAGCAUGAUCAGCCACACGGGCACUGAGACACGGGCCCGACUCCUACGGGAGGCAGCAGUAAGGAAUAUUGGACAAUGGACGAAAGUACUGAUCCAGCCAUGCCGCGUGAAGGAUUAAGGUCCUCUGGAUUGUAAACUUCUUUAUAUGGGACGAAAAGGCAUUCUUGUUCACUUGACGGUACCAUAUGAAUAAGCACCGGCUAACUCCGUGCCAG
rnacentral:rRNA from 1 species